CUCAUCCUCUUCGUUUCGUGGUAGCCACCAAAAGCAGCCACCACCGAACGCCAUCGAUCUCGUGCUCUAAAGCCGCAUCAUGUUGCAAGCUAUUGUCCAGGACGUUCGUCAUCGUCGCCCUCAUCGCCUCAGGGGACCGGAUCGACCUGAGGAGCACCAAAACCGCGGAUGGACUGCUUCUUCUUCCUCUGUCGCCGCAGCUUCACCGCCGUCGAUCUGAUCCCUUACUACUACUAAACCAUCGACGGGACCCCAUGCGCCCCCUAAGUAAGCUCCGCGUCCAUCCCCUCUAUUUUCGGUGUCGAUCUCGACCUCUAUAUGCGGCCACCACCGUUGCCGAACCCACUGCCGCUCGGACUCGUCGCCGGCGAGGUUCCAAUGAACCUAUGGUCGGCGUGCGUACACCCACUGGCCUCCCGCACGCCUGUAUCUCCCUCCUAGCUCGCCAGCUCGCUCGAUCUCGAGCUCCUGCGCCAUAGCCGCACCCUACCGAGCUCGGGCCGUCUCCGUGGUCGCUGUCGUGCCCGCACGCCCCUAGUCGCGUCCGGCCACAGAUGCCGCUUCCUGGCUGCGCCCAUGCACGCGCCCGCCUGCGCGUGGCCGUGCCCCUGCUGUCGCCGCUCUGCCUGCACUGCUACUGCCUUAGCCGCCGCUGCACUCUGCUGCUGCUCCACUCCUACAGUAACAUUCAGUUACUUAGCAGUAGCUAGCUUGGUUGGUGCUACGCUGACUGGCCCUCUGUACAGCCCCUAAACAACAACUGAACAACAAUUAAUAUGAGUAAAAUUCAUGUGGGCAGGUAGUACACUUGACAAGGUUCAAAACAUCCCAUUGGACCAAAUUCAUAAGAUGUAAGGAUUAAAUCCUAUGAAAAUCACAAAAUCCUAUGUUCGUAUAUUUUAACAGUUUCUGGAAUUAACUUAAAGUGGAACUUUUCAAAUGCAGUUUCGAUCAAGCAACUAAACUCUAACAUGGAUGUCAAUGAUACUAUCAUGUAGAUCACAGAAAGAUGAUAAAAAUGGUAAAGGGCACUAAGCCAUAGGAUGGACAAAACUACAGUAAUAGCCUUCGGAAUACAGCUAAGUGGCGUUAAAACUGAGCGAUUCUCAGACAACCAAUUGUCAGGAAAUUCCAAUUAACUAUUUAAAACUUUGAAAAAACGUAGAAAAAUGAUCGCAUGUCAGAUAAAAAACUUUAUAUAUGAAAGUUGCUCAGAAUGACGAGACGAAUCCGAAUACGCCCUCCUCAUACCUGUCACAUGCCUAUAGCAUGAUGAACAUGGAACUUUCCCCUCCGUUUCAUCUGUCCAAUAAUCACCCGGAGCUGGGAGAACACUACCGUAUAAUUUCCCGCUUCCACUAACCUGCACAGUACUGCAUUAGGGCACCUCUCGAAUAACGUGAUGUCAUGCUAUGCUUCUGUGAUUGCAUUUGUCUGCCUUAAUUUAUUAUUUCUUCCCCCUCCUCUCUCUCGAUAGACCCCGAGACCGAUGAUGACCCGAUGAUCGUCUACCUCAUCGAAGACCCGUUGGUGUCUGCAAAGCAACUGGGCAAGCAAACCCCCCAUUGAUCAUUCUAAUAUCGCCCAUUUCCUUCUCUCUUAUGCUUGCAUUGUAACUGCUACUACUUUUUGUAUGAUCCUGUUGGAA
rnacentral:lncRNA from 1 species